CCUACGGGAGGCAGCAGUGAGGAAUAUUGGUCAAUGGGCGCGAGCCUGAACCAGCCACGCAGCGUGAAGGAUGACUGCCCUACGGGUUGUAAACUUCUUUUAUAAAGGAAUAAAGUGAGGCACGUGUGUCUUUUUUUAUGUACUUUAUGAAUUAGGAUCGGCUAACUUCGUGCCAGCAGCCGCGGUACUACGGAGGAUCCGAGCGUUAUCCGGAUUUAUUGGGUUUAAAGGGAACGUAGAUGGGUUGUUAAGUCAGUUGUGAAAGUUAGCGGCGCAACCGUAAAAUUGCAAUUGAUACUGGCAGUCUUGAGUACAGUUGAGGUAGGCGGAAUUCGUGGUGUAGCGGUGAAAUGCUUAGAUAUCACGAAGAACACCGAUUGCGAAGGCAGCUUACUAAACUGCCACUGACAUUGAUGCUCGAAAGUGUGGGUAUCAAACAGGAUUAGAUACCCUAGUAGUC
rnacentral:rRNA from 1 species